rnacentral:rRNA from 1 species
GUGGGGAAUAUUGGACAAUGGGCGAAAGCCUGAUCCAGCCAUGCCGCGUGAGUGAUGAAGGCCCUAGGGUUGUAAAGCUCUUUUGUGCGGGAAGAUAAUGACGGUACCGCAAGAAUAAGCCCCGGCUAACUUCGUGCCAGCAGCCGCGGUAAUACGAAGGGGGCUAGCGUUGCUCGGAAUCACUGGGCGUAAAGGGUGCGUAGGCGGGUUUCUAAGUCAGAGGUGAAAGCCUGGAGCUCAACUCCAGAACUGCCUUUGAUACUGGAAGUCUUGAGUUCGGGAGAGGUGAGUGGAACUGCGAGUGUAGAGGUGAAAUUCGUAGAUAUUCGCAAGAACACCAGUGGCGGAGGCGGCUCACUGGCCCGAUACUGACGCUGAGGCACGAAAGCGUGGGGAGCAAACA